rnacentral:ncRNA from 1 species
CAACCGAUUUGGUCCUAGUACCUCUCUUUCAUUUUAGCUAAGAUGAUACAUGCAAGCAAAACCCCCUACAGUGAGUAAAAACUUUACCGCCCUAUAAAGUUGCGGAUCGUUUUCCCCCAGCAUCAGGUUCAACCUUUUUGCCAUUUACACUUAGACCACCACGUCUGCAGUACUUAACCUUAUACAAUAAGCAAAAGCUUGAUAUAGCUAUAGCAAAUAGGCCUGGUAAAUUAUGUGCCAGCCACCGCGGUUAUACAUAAAGCCCAAAUCAAAGAGAAACGGUAAAAAGGUGGCCCUAAUAACUAGAAUAGACACCACCUCUAGCAGUAAUAAGCUUAUACAGCAAAUUUAUGACAACCAUUAAUUUAAUUCUAGCUUCCAUUCUUAUGCCACGAAAACUCAAAAAUAAACUGGGAUUAGAUACCCCACUAUAUGAGUCGUAAAAAAACAAAACACCCGAGAACUACGAACUAUAGUUUAAAACUCAAAGGACUUGGCGGUUUUUUAGACCUUCCUGGAGGAGCUUGCUACAUAAUCGAUAACCCACGAUAAACCUUACCAACUUUUGCAAAAUCUCAACUUGUAUACCAUCGUCGUCAGUCUACUUCAUAAGAAUGUAUACAAAAAGAGCUUACCCUCUUUACGUCAGAUCAAGGUGCAGUUAAUAAGUUGGAGAUUAGUGAGCUACAAUAAAUCCACAAACCAAACACAAAUAUGAAAAGCCUUAUGAAACAAAGCUUAAAAUAGGAUUCAGCAGUAAUACCUUACCAGAAAAUAAGUAUGAAGCCCAGCUCUAAAAAGCGCACACAUCGCCCGUCACUCUCGUCCACAGAGGAGAAAAGUCGUAACACAGUAGGCGUAUUGGAAAAUGCGCCUGGAAUUAUUCUUAUAGUUAAAAAAUAACAAUAGCUUUUCAUGCUAUAAGUUCGGGUUAUACUAUU